GAUCCUGCUCAGGAUGAACGCUAGCGACAGGCCUAACACGUGCAAGUCGAGGGGCAACAUGGUGUCAGCUUGCUGAUACCGAUGGCGACCGGCGCACGGGUGAGUAACGCGUAUGUAAUCUACCUGUAACAGAGGGAUAACCCGGAGAAAUCCGGACUAAUACCUCAUAGCACAUAUUAUUCGCAUGAAUUUUAUGUUAAAGAGACUCGGUUACAGAUGAACAUGCGUUCCA
rnacentral:rRNA from 1 species